AGAGUUUGAUCCUGGCUCAGGACGAACGCUGGCGGCGUGGAUUAGGCAUGCAAGUCGAACGGUAUAAACCUUUCGGGGUUUAGAGAGUGGCGAACGGGUGAGUAACACGUAGGUAAUCUACCCUCAAAACGGGGACAACCCAGGGAAACUUGGGCUAAUACCGGAUGCGUGCAAGCAAUGUUUUGGUUGUUAAUGCUAUUCACGGAAGUGAGUAGUGUUAAUGGUUGAGAGCAUUAUUUGCAUAAAAGGUGGCAUAUGCUGCCGUUUGAGGAUGAGCCUGCGUCCUAUUAGUUAGUUGGUGAGGUAAUGGCUUACCAAGGCGAUGAUAGGUAGGCGGCCUUAACGGGUGGUCGCCCACACUGGGAUUGAGAGACGGCCCAGACUCCUACGGGAGGCAGCAGUCGAGAAUAGUCUACAAUGGACGGAAGUCUGAUAGUGCGACGCCGCGUGAACGAAGAAUCCCUUCGGGGUGUAAAGUUCUUUUAUACGUGAGCAGUGCCCUUUAUAUGAAUAGUAUAGAGGGAGGGAUUUAAGCGUAUGAAUAAGCAACGGCUAACUCCGUGCCAGCAGCCGCGGUAACACGGGGGUUGCAAGCGUUGUCCGGAAUUACUAGGCGUAAAGUGCAGGUAGGCGGAUAGAUAAGUUUAAGGUUAAAGGCUACGGCUUACCCGUAGUAAGGCGUUAGAUACUGUUUAUCUGGAAUGCGGUUGAGGGAGACAGAAUUCCUGGUGUAGCGGUGGAAUGCGCAGAGAUCAGGAGGAAUACCGAAGGCGAAGGCAGUCUUCUAAGCCGAUAUUGACGCUAAACUGCGAAGGUGUGGGGAUCAAACAGGAUUAGAUACCCUGGUAGUCCACACAGUAAACGAUAAUCACUAGGUGUUGGGUUCGUAUAGGACUCGGUGCCGGAGCUAACGCGAUAAGUGAUUCGCCUGGGGAGUACGAUCGCAAGGUUGAAACUCAAGGAAUUGACGG
rnacentral:rRNA from 1 species